rnacentral:rRNA from 1 species
AGCGAACGCUGGCGGCAGGCCUAACACAUGCAAGUCGAACGAACCUUUCGGGGUUAGUGGCGGACGGGUGAGUAACACGUGGGAACGUGCCUUUAGGUUCAGAAUAACUCAGGGAAACUUGUGCUAAUACCGAAUGUGCCCUUCGGGGGAAAGAUUAAUCGCCUUUAGAGCGGCCCGCGUCUGAUUAGCUAGUUGGUUGAGGUAAUGGCUCACCAAGGCGACGAUCAGUAGCUGGUCUGAGAGGAUGAUCAGCCACAUUGGGACUGAGACACGGCCCAAACUCCUACGGGAGGCAGCAGUGGGGAAUCUUGCGCAAUGGGCGAAAGCCUGACGCAGCCAUGCCGCGUGAAUGAUGAAGGUCUUAGGAUUGUAAAAUUCUUUCACCGGGGACGAUAAUGACGGUACCCGGAGAAGAAGCCCCGGCUAACUUCGUG